AAAUUGCUCUUGAUUAUACUGGUUGGAAUUCAAAAUUGAAAGCUAAUUCUUCUUCUUUAGCCAAAUCUGUUACUUCUUCUUUGUUUUCUACAUAAAUAGACAAAGAUGAAUGCUGAAUUAUUGCUCGAUCUGCCAGCUCUGUUGAUUUUGUUUGUUGUUGAGGUUAAAAUGUAAAAUUGAAAUCUGAUGAGUCUCCUUCUUCUCCUUUGAUGUGAACUUCUUCUCUUUGCUGAAUUGUUGCUGAGUAGUGAAAAUUAUGCAUUUGAUUUGGCCUGAAUCUAGAAAAUUGGAGGCUCCUGGAGUCGUUGAUGAUCGUUGAUUUGGCUGUGGUUACUGUUCUAAGGUCGUAUAAUGAGACUACAUUUUUAGUUAGUUAAAAUUAUCCUGUCACCAUCUUCAAUUAAGCUCUGUCAUAUAAGCUCUGGCCCUGUUAUUGUUUCUAGACUAAUAUGAUUUUCCCUUGAAUUCAUGAAACAGGUUUGGGAAGGAGAAGGAGUCAUAACUUAUGGCCAAAAACUAAUUGGAGCCACUGAUCUGCAGAAAUCUGCACCUGGAACUAUUGUUAAAUAUUGACUCUUAUUUAGGUCACAGACCCAGAUAACUCAUCACAGAGCAUUUAUGAAGCUUGGACUAGUUCUGGCAUCUCUCCUUUGGUAAGCAUAUUGCAACUGUCAAAAAAUUGGUAAAGUAGAAGCAUGCAAUUUACUAUGCUUUUAGUUUCAACAAAUUGGCCAGUGAUCAGUAUGUGAUUGAUUGAACUUUAAAAUAGUAGCAUAACUUGAACAUCUAUAUAUAAUCAUGAACUAUUUCUUUACAUGGAAAGAUUGGAAGAUUAGGUGGUGGAGGAUCAGAUUAUAAACCUUUUGUGCAGCAUGUGGGAAUUCUAUCAAUUGAUAUAGCCUUUGGAGGAGGUACAUAACACAUUAAUUUAAUCACUAAGAUUCGGAUGCGUUAAUAAUACUCUCUCUGCGUUAAUAAUAUUGACUCUUUGUGCCAGAAUUUCUUGUGCCAAAAAGGGAAGCAUCAGUGAGAAUUUCUUUGUGUCAGAAUUUCUUGUAUAUCAAGAAUGUUGUUGUAUCAUCAAACUUAACUCCUUGAGGCACCAAAUUUAAGAAAACAGUGGUUUUCUCUAGUUGAUGAUUUGCUGCAUUAGCUCCAACAAUGCGAACCUGGUUGCGACUCAACAAAAGACCGACUGCAAUUUCCUCAACUAGCUUGAAAACCAAAGGGAAGAACUUGUAUAUUGCAAUGCUGAUGUGGAGUUUAACUUGAAGUGGCCACACAACCACAAGGAGAUACAGGAGGUGUAUUUGUCAAUGGCUCUGAGCAAGUCACCAUCAUGCAAUCUAAAAGGAAUAGGAUCAAUAUAAAAUCUUGUUUGUUUAAAUU